GGAUGAUGAAACCAAGUCGUAAACACCAGAUAUCAUGACGUCGCAUCUGUUUCUAAUUCCUUCUAUUAAGAGUAACAGAGAAAACAGAGCAUGACUACAUAAAGUUUCCCAUGAAUUGAAGUUAGAAAGAAAGGAGUAAAAAAUAUUAUUUUCGUACCAUUAAUCCUAAAUUAUACAUCAUAAACUUAGAGCGCAAGACAAAAUCUCCAAAGGCCAUAAACUUUAGAUUUGAUCCCCAAAAUACUACUUUGAAGGAGCGAGAUGUGCAAUACCAUAGAACUCGCCUAUUGUCAAGCAGAGGAGAUCCAUAAUGAGAGACUAAUAACGGCAUUAGACUCCUACUUAGUGCUCAAAUUAAGUUUCUAUCCAAUUCCUUCCAGCAAAAAAGAAACAAGCCCAGAAACCGAAAAGUCUAAAUAAACAACACAAAUUUACCAACUAGUGAAGUUUGAGAAUAACUACUUGUAUCAUAUGUAGUUCACCUAGUAUAAAUGGCAUGGUCUUGAGACCCCCCUGCUUCCUCUCCUUUUCUCUUCCAUCCUCAGCCAUUGCUCACAGAUAGAACUGUCCAACCUCCCCAAAUAGAAGAGUAGCAAUGCUUAAGGCCUUGGCCAAUGUAUGACUCUCCUUACCUUG
rnacentral:lncRNA from 1 species